CCUACGGGGGGCUGCAGUGGGGAAUAUUGGACAAUGGGGGCAACCCUGAUCCAGUCAUGCCGCGGGUGUGAAGAAGGCCCUCGGGUUGUAAAGCACUUUCAGUGAGGAAGAACGCCUGGUGGUUAAUACCCAUCAGGAAAGACAUCACUCACAGAAGAAGCACCGGCUAACUCCGUGCCAGCAGCCGCGGUAAUACGGAGGGGGCGAGCGUUAAUCGGAAUUACUGGGCGUAAAGCGCGCGUAGGUGGCUUGAUAAGCCGGUUGUGAAAGCCCCGGGCUCAACCUGGGAACGGCAUCCGGAACUGUCAAGCUAGAGUGCAGGAGAGGAAGGUAGAAUUCCCGGUGUAGCGGUGAAAUGCGUAGAGAUCGGGAGGAAUACCAGUGGCGAAGGCGGCCUUCUGGACUGACACUGACACUGAGGUGCGAAAGCGUGGGUAGCAAACAGGAUUAGAUACCCGUGUAGUC
rnacentral:rRNA from 1 species